UAUCUGAAAUCUUAGUGGGGGGUCCCUCAGUCCUGGUUCCCCACUGUGAGGCCAGAUCAAUCACAUUGUGGGCCUUGCCUUCAUUUCUGCCACUGCCUACAGAAAAAAAAUAAGUGAGCUAAUGCUGGUAGAACACUUAAGGCUGGAGACAA